AGCUUGAAUGGUAGGCCUCUCAGUCAUGAGAAUAGGAGGCAAAGGCUCAUCUCUCUCAUCCUCCGCCGUCGCCAACGCCCUUGCUCACGUCACCAUCGACUUGUCCGCGCUCGACAAGCUCUCCUCCUCCUCCUCCGUCGCCGCUGCCAAUCUCAAGCCUCACCGGCUCCUCUCUCUCCCGUCCGUCGAAGAAUUCAGAGCCUCCCUCGUUGUCCUCCUCGCCAAGCUCCUCUCCCUCUCCGGCACCCUUACGGUUCUCCCUCUUCGAAUCGCCGACACCCUAAAUUCGAAUUCUUCUUAAGACUUGGGAGUGGAGACUCUCGAUUUGACCGACGAGAAGGCUCUUGCAUUGCAGAAGCUCUCGGCCGAUUGGUGGUUGGAGAUCCACUCCCCGCCGACACCGGUGAAUGAAUCUUGAUCGAUCUGAAGGAAAGCUGGGUUCUUGUUGUUUAUAAGAGUCGUUCGCGCCCUCAAUCUCGCGCCUCUUUCAUCACCCACGAAGACACGAAGAGACGAAGCUUUCGAUCGGCAAUCAGCCUUCUCUCUCCCAACUAAUCAAAGAUGAUGGUAGAGAAUAUCUGGAUGUCCAUGAACCCAAUCAAUAUCGUAGAAAGCAUGACAUGCUUGUUCUUAGGUUUUAAAUCCUGCAUUCUCUAGGGAUAGCUAUGUAUGUCGUGGGAAAUCUGUUGGAGCAACCAAAUUCCAAAGAGUUUAGAGGACUGUGAGUUGUAGUAGCAGAUGAUGAUAAUUUAAAAAGGGAUGUGACCACUACACUGCUCUAGAACUUGGUUCUCAAUUCCAGAAGAAACAGUACUGGGUUUGAUUGCUUGAUUAGACUUUUCAUUGCUCAGAAUUCAUAUUGUUGUUUUCAAUCUUCACAUGCCUGAUUGGUGUUCUGGAUCUUCACAUGCUUGAAAACCCAUGGUAGAUUGGUGUAUGUUUGAAUUUUUAUGAUUUUCUUUUUAUUUUGAAAGGCAAGGAUAUUAUGGGAACAUUGAUAUAUUUUUACUUUCCUUUCCUACACCAACCAAACACCGGAAAGGAAAUCAAAUGACCUUUCCUGAAUACUUUCCAUGCUUUACCAAACACAGGAAAGGAAACUUGACAAGAAUGUUACUUUCCCAUCUCAUGGAAAAGACAAUGGAAUUGAUUUCGCUUCCAUGAACCAAA